rnacentral:rRNA from 1 species
ACGCUCGACACCUACGGGAGGCAGCAGUGAGGAAUAUUGGUCAAUGGGCGCUAGCCUGAACCAGCCAAGUAGCGUGAAGGAUGAAGGCUCUAUGGGUCGUAAACUUCUUUUAUAUAAGAAUAAAGUGCAGUAUGUAUACUGUUUUGUAUGUAUUAUAUGAAUAAGGAUCGGCUAACUCCGUGUCAGCAGCCGCGGUAAUCUGAGCGGGCUGGCAAGGC